rnacentral:rRNA from 1 species
UACAGAGGGGGCAAGCGUUAUUCGGAAUUAUUGGGCGUAAAGGGCGCGUAGGCGGCCAUUCAAGUGACGGGUGAAAGCCCUCGGCUUAACCGAGGAACUGCCUGUCAGACUGGAUGGCUUGAGACCGGGAGAGGUGAGUGGAAUUCCCAGUGUAGCGGUGAAAUGCGUAGAUAUCUGGAGGAACACCGGUGGCGAAGGCGGCGUCCUGGACCAACACUGACACUGAGGAGCGAAAGCCAGGGGAGCAAACGGG